rnacentral:lncRNA from 1 species
CUCAUCCUCCUCAUCAUCAGGUUUUCAAUAAUUUUGUGUGGGUUUCUACUUCAACACCAAUUGCACCUGUGUUUCUUGGAUAUGUGGAGUAUUUGAGCUUUCCCAUCUGUUUCCGGGCGAUGAUGAUUCGCCGACACGAGACGUUGACGGUGAAAAUGAGAGUGAAUCAGUAUCUUUAUUCACUGAAAUCCUACUCAAACCAACUUAGCCUACCAUAUAUCUGAGGUGGGAUGAAUAACAUAAAUACCAAUUAUAUAAGUUGAUGAUUCAACUGACUAUAUUAUGCAUAAAUCUACCAAGAUGAGAACACUGCUCUGACUAAUACAUAAUAUAAACAUUCCUCAUCUCAGAAAUACAGAGUUGCAACUGACUAUAUUUCACUCCCUCCAUUAAAAGAGACAACCUGCACAUGUUUGUCGAAAAAGAAAAAACAGCAAAAUCUGCCUGACUCAAUGCAUUAUUUUAAGAAAAUGAGCUAUUGGAUAAUAUGGUCUUGGGGGCACAGUACUGAAUAAAAAGAAUGGAUUGUUACAACCGGAA